GGGGUCCCGUACCUUUGAAAUGGUGGUUCUUUCGUUAAAACUGGAAUGCCAAGGAGCAGCAGUGGCGUAGCGGUUAAGAGCAGACUACGAUGCAAUCUCAGAGGAGGAGGAAUCACUUUUCAUGAUUAACGUCUCCAAUAUAGACAUUUUUUUCUUCAUGUGUGGUAUUGUAACACCUCACUUGGUGAUUGUAUUUGUGGAUAUGACUCUUGGGGGAAGAAAGUCUACUUGUCCGUUGGCUGCAGGCUCCUCAGCCACGCAACUCCCUGGGUGGUCACAGCAAGCCAUCGCUCAAGUUGAGUCCGCCCCAGAGUGUUGAUAAAAUGAGAUGAUAUGGCAACCUGUAGAAUCGGGACAGGAAAAGACGUACAAAUAAACGAAUUCAAUAAACAAACAC